CUCCCCACACACUAAGAUAAGAUGUUACGAACUUUCUAGCUUUCCCCUCCCCCCAACCCCAUCCCCUACCCUCACCCCCUCCAUAACACCCCACACCCCACACACCCCGAGGCACCAAGACAAACCUACAGCGAUAGUGAUAAUCCGUCUCUCUCCUCUCGCCCUUAGAAUUAAAAGACAGAAUGAAAGAAAAAAACAUGAGGGGGUCGUUUCUCGUUCACCUUCGUACCUUGCCUGACGCCGAUAUAUCUUUGAUGGUUAGUGCGUUGGUUUUGCUUCUCCCUGGUCGCGUGUUCGAUCCCCCGUGACGGAAAGAUUAUGCCUCCUCCCAUAGCUAGAUAAUUAAUUUUGGUUUCAGGGAGUCAUAUGAGGUCUAGGUUCCCUUUAUUUUACUUUUAUUUGAGUUUUAAAGCUAAACGGCGCAGCGUGAUUUCCCAGCAUGUUGAUUGGCUGUCCCCGAGUCGCCUGAACUAGAACUGAGUCUCAUAGAUCUUGAAUUGUGUUGCCAAAAUCGGGAUCAAGUUGCCUAAAUCGAGAUCAUGAUGACAAAAUCGGUAUCAUGUUGCCAAAAUCGGGUUUAAAAAUCGGGAUCAAGUUGUCAAAAUCGGGUUUAAAAAUCGGGAUCAAGUUGUCAAAAUCGGGUCUAAAAAUCGGGAUCAAGUUGUCAAAAUCGGGUCUAAAAAUCGGGAUCAAGUUGUCAAAAUCGGGAUAGAGUUGCCAAAAUCGGGAUCAAUUACCAAGACAAUCCAGAGCAACCAAUAAAUCGCCUGACUUCUCACGCUGGGACAUACGAUCUUGCGUUAACUAUCUCUAUAUUUGUUUUCCUUUCACUUUAUGGUUUUCAAUUCUCUAUAUCGUCGGUUUGGUGAUGUUUGUAAAGGGUUUGAAUUGCAAGGCCGACGCACGACAAACGCCCCCCUCCAUUCCUAAGUGUACAAAAGCAGUUACCUAUUCCUAAUUAAGCUAACGAGGAACACAGGUAAGGAGUUCUAUUUUAGGUAAUAUACGAGCCAUUCUUAUCUUCUAUGUUAUCUACGUAGUCUAGUAUUUGUUUAUAUUUUUUUUACUUUCUCACUCACUCACUCACACUCACACACACACACACACACACACACACACACACACACACACACACACACACACACACAUUCAGUCCUUGGAAAAAAAAAUGGUUUGUAAGAUUAAUAAGGUUUCAUUAAUAUUUCUAGCGGCGAAAAACAAAAAUAUUACAAGUCCGUGCUCUUAGUAGUAAUAGUAGUAGUAAUAGUAGUAGUAGUAGUAGUAGUAGUAGUAGUAAUAAUAGUAGUAAUAGCCCUACCGAAAGGACUUACAUAGACUAUUAACCAGGAAUAUUCUACAAGCUAUUACCCUUCUUAUCUGCUGCUAUUAACUCUAUCAUCUUGUCUUAUCUCUAUCUUAGACUUAAUAUAUGUUGCAUGUAUCCUUCAUUUUCAUCACUUAACAAUAACUCCACUUUUUCCUCCUCCUUUCACCUUCUCCAGCAUAAUAUUUCUCCCUAAGACCACAAACAGGAUUGGAACUUACUAGCUAUGCCACCUUGACCCCACCACCACCACCACCGCUACCUCGUCACUGGGGGGCAGAAGGUGGUAGGUGGUAGUGGAGGGGGUGAAGGGUCAGGUGGAGUUGGACACACUGUAUAUUAGGAAACGUCACGCCUAGUUAAUUUUUGCUUCGCUUUAUCAUUCUCUUGUUUAUUUUGAUGUUUAUUGUUGUUGUUUUCUUCCUCUUCUUAUGACCACAGAUGUUGCGCUGACUCAACGAAACUUUCCAACUACUUUCCUCUUCUUCUUCUUCUUCAGUGUCUUUCUUCUGUGGUUUUUUUUUUUAUUAUAUAUAUUUUCUUCUCUUGGUUUUCUUUAAUGCUAACCUUAAUUCCACUAGAGUUGUUUUCUUUUAGUUAUUAUUCGCGUUUUUCUUUCUGUCUUUUGAUCUUUCUUUCAUCUAUUUUCUUCCUCUAUCUUUAAAAUCCAUGUAAGUAAACCAUCGCCGCUGUCUUUCUACGUUUACUACUUUUCUUUCUCUACCUUUAAAACGCAUGUAAGUAAAUCCUCGCAGUUAUCCUUCUAUUACAGCUAAACCGCUUCUAAUUUCUGCUUUUCUCACUCAGUAUCGCUCCUUUUUUCAUCUUUUUUCCUUUUUUUUCAUUUUUUCUCACCCUUCAUCGUUUUCAAUCUCUCACGCGUUGAUCUGUUUUUACUCUUUUCCUUCUUCUUAAAUAUACAUCCCGGAACACUUAUUUUUCACCCUCCUCUUGUAAACACUCGAUUUCGGUCUCUUAGAGGUUGUUAUCGGUCUUUAAAUUCGUUACUUCUGCAAAUUGUCAAGCGUUUAAAGGUCUUUCACAUAUUUCAUUUUUCUUUCUUUGGCGUGGAUGAAAAAAAAAGAGUAGGAAAGUGGGUUUUAAUUCGUUACUUCUGCAUAUUUUCAAGCGUCUAAAGGUCUUUCACACGUUCAACUUAUUUCAUUUUUCAUUCUUUGGCGUGGAUGAAAAAAAAAAGAAUGAAAGUAGGAAAAAUCGCAGCUUAUGUUAUAGUACACACAUCGCUGUUGCUGGUUACGCGCCGAGCUCACACUCCGUUUUCUUCUUCUUCCGUUUUCUUUGCCUAGACUGACUUAAAUUGACUUGUAAACGGUCUAUUCCGGUCUCUAAAGGUGGUUAUCGUUUUUUAAAUUCGUUACAUCUGCAAAUUGUCAAGCGUUUAAAGAUCUUUCAAACAUUUUUAUUUUUCAUUCUUUGGCGUGGAUUGAAAAAAAGAGAAAGAAAAUGGGAAAAUUCGCUGCCCAAGGUCUCACUUACUUAACUUCUAGCUCUAAAACUAUAAGGUACUGAUUUUUUUUCCUUAUUUUUAUUCUCCUUUUCUCGUGUUCCCCUAUUCACUUAUUCCUAUUUCCUUAUUCCUAUUCGGUUAUUCCUAUUUUCAUUUUCACUCCUGUCAUUUUAUCUCCUUUGUCUCCUCCUCCUCCUCCUCUUUUCAUGUUCUUGUUCUUGUUCUUCUUCUCUUCCUCAUUAUUACUAUUACAUUAUUAUUAUUAUUAUUAUUAUUAUUAUUAUUAUUAUUAUUAUUAUUAUUAUUAUUAUUCCCUCGGCAUCUCCUCCUCUUCCUCCUCCUCCUCCUCCUCCUCCUCCUCCUCCUCCUCCUCCUCCUCUCAACCACCACCACCACCAUCAUCACUCUCAAAACAAAACAAAACAAAAAAGAGUAUUGGCAAAAGUUAACACAAGGAAAAGUUACCUUAAAACCCCCACACACCUCCCCCCCUCCCCCCUCCUCCCCCCCCCUCUGGCACGGUUCACCCCUCCAGGUUUGCUUUUUAAUCUUUUUUUUUAAUCCUGCAUUCGUCAACAUUGCCAGAGAAGAGAAGAGAAGAGAAGAGAAGGCUUAAGCUCACCCACAUCUUGAGAAUUAAACAAAAAAAACAAGAAAAAAAACAAGAUUAAGUGCAGACUAGUAUGGUGUCGAUGGCGGUUGAGAGAGACACUAUCAUCACCAUCUUCAUCAUCAUCAUCAUCAUCAUCAUCAUUGGCAUUCUCCCUCUUUCUCACCUCCCAUCUUUCUCUCCCUCACCUUCUUCCUCUAUUCCCUCCCUCCCUCUCCGCCUUCCUUCACCCCUCCAGCGGCGGGACACAAAUCACAAAAAUAAACCGCUCGCUGCAUUCGUCAAGGCGAGCGGAGGAGGAGGAGAGAUAAACAGGAGGAAGGGAAAGAGAGAAAGGAACAGGAGGUUAUUAAGAGAGGAAACGCCAAUGAGUGAGUUCGUAAAGCUACAUUCAUUCAUGCAUUGUUUUUUUUUCAUAAUUUUUUGGUUCGCUAUUCAUUUGUUAUUCAUUUUUAUUCAUUGUUAUUCACUCACUUCCGGUUGUUAUUCAUUCACUUUUGGUUGUUAUUCAUUGCUAUUCAUUCACUCACUCUCGGUUGUUAUUCAUUCACUUUUGGUUGUUAUUCAUUGCUAUUCAUUCACUCACUCUCGGUUGUUAUUCAUUCACUUUUGGUUGUUAUUCAUUGCUAUUCAUUCACUCACUCUCGGUUGUUAUUCAUUUCGUCUUUAAAAAAAAAGUUCAUUCAUAUCAUUACUAUCAUCAUCUUACUUUAUCUGUCAUUAUCAUCUUUCAUCACCAUCAUCAUUUAUCUCAUUCUCAUCACAUUAUCAUCGUUGUGUGUUACUUUCGUCAUCUUCAACUUCUUUCAUCACCAUCAUUUUCUGGACCAGCAACAUCACACUCAUCACAUCACAUCCCAUCAUCAUCAUCGUCAUAAUUACUACAAUCAUUGCAUCCUUCAUUAUUUAUUAUAUUUAUUCUGUUCAUUUAUUUAUUAUGUUAUUUAUCUUCUUGUGUCUCUUUUUUCCGUAUACUCAAAACGGAUAUUACACUACAUACAUUCUUCUUUUUUUUAUAUAUCGACAAAUGACACCGUUGUACUUACUUAUGUGUCUUCUCUUCCUAUUCUUUCCCCCGUGUGUGUGUGUGUGUGUGUGUGUGUGCGUGUGGGAGGUGUGCAUGUGGCCGGGGCUGAUUAAUAUGUUGUCCCUUGUUGCUAGGAAGGCGGGGGGAAGGUCACGUGUUGGUGCAGGUGUUAACGGUGCGCAGGUGUUCGUGACCCAGGUGUGUGUGGGUGUACGUGUGUGUGAUUAGGUGUGCUUGUGGUGGACUCGUGUGGCCGGGGGAUGGUUUGGGGGGGGAGGGAGGGCGCUGGUGUUGGGGUGUGGUCAGUCUCAUGCCUCGGUCACCCCUCCAAACAAAGUGUUCGCAUUCGUCACCGCUGCACGCCACUGACCACAUCCCCUCACCCCGCUCUCCUUCCCUCCUCUCUCACCUCUCCCCCACACACACCACACGGGUCAAACUUCAUCUCCUAACCUGAAUCCUGAGAGUCCGCGAUAUCGAGUCUUCUACAGCGCCAUGAAAAGAAUAAACGCCUGAAUCAUAUACUCCAAAACCAAACAGAAAACGGAGUGCAGGUUGAGGAUGCCAAAGAGAAGACUGUCGCUUCCUCCGUCCCUCCAGAGUCCUUCACCCCUCCAGGACGCCACGUUAGGGUCUUCCUGCAUUCGUCAAGGACUCUGGUUGGGGAGGGAGUGCAGCCCCCUCUCCCUCCACCCUCUAUGCCGUGUUCUCCCUUCUCCCUUUAAACGUGUAGCACCUCUUUAGUCUUCAGCUGUUUUUGUUAAGGUUAUUGAGUUAACUUAGAAUCUCGUCUUUCUCUUAAACUGUUUCUUUUUGUGUGAGCUUCCUUUGGGCUUGUUCUGUUCCCUCAAUGUCCUCUACUCUUCUCCCUUCCUCUCCAACGUGCUACACUCCCUUCCCUUCCUCCUCCCUCCUUCUCUUCCUCUCCCUUCCUCUUUGUCCUCCUUAUCUGAGCUAGCGAAGGAAAUUAUACAGUAAGACUCUUCAAGCACUUAAAUGUAUCCUCUCCCUCCAUCUCUGUGUAUCGCUAUUUGUUAUUAUUGGUCUCUAGUGUAUGUAUGUCCUUGUCUUUCUAUCCACUCUUCGUAUUAUUGUCAUUGUUAUUAUUUGUUAUUAUUAUCAUUAUUAUUGUGGUUACUCUUCACCUGGUCCAUCGUCACUUAGCCUGGACAGAUUUUAAACAUUCCCGACAGCCUGGGUCGAUGAUGGUGAUGGGACGGCACACACACACACACACACACACACACACACACACACACACACACACACACACCGCUGCUGCUGGUCACACGUCGAGCUCACACUCCGUUUUCUUCUUCCCGUUUUCUUUGCUUAGCUUAACUUUGGGUGAAAAAAAAUGUCUCCGUUCUUUCCUUCGACGAUUUGACUGACAGCUUUCCCUUAUCUGUUGUUAGUUAUAUCGUUCCAUGGUUGGUUAGACACGUGGGUUCAAUCUUCUAUUCAUAGCUGUAGUUUGUGUCUCCUUUUGAAAUACUAAUCACUGUUUUUCAUUUCUUCCUCUGUUUUUGUAUUUUUUCCAUUAAUUUUGUUUUUGUUUUUAGAUACUAGCGCAUUCUUUUUUGUGGUAUGAUAUGUUGUUGUUCUUGUUUUCCUUUUCCUGCCUAAGUUUUUUGGUUUUGGCUUUGUUUUGAUUUCCGUGGCCUCAUCCUAGUGUUUUUUUUUUCUUCGUUUCUCACUUUUCAUCGUUCCUAUUCACUGCCUCCGUUUGUACAUUGAUAGGAAGUACAUCGUGUGUUUUUUCCCCCUUCAAUCUUUCUCAUUUUUUCCCGACACACGCUUUCCAUUUUCCAUUUUUCACCCGACUACUAUAUUUUUUUAUUCGUCUUUAUUUAUCUCUUUUUUUUUUUUAAUAUCAUUCCUCUGUCUCUGUUUGUAGAUAGUGAGUACAAGAUGUUUUUUUUCCUUCAAUCUUACUCCUUUUUUUUCAGACACGCACUUUCCAUUUUCCAUUUUUCACCCGACUACUGUAUUUUUUUCGCCUUCAUUUCUCUUAUUUUUUUUACAUUCCUCUCCUAAGUCUCCGUUUGUAGGAUAGUUUGUAGGAUAGUAGGAGUGUAGGAUAGCUUGUAGGAUAGUAGGAGUGUAGGAUAGCUUGUAGGAUAGUAGGAGUGUAGGAUAGCUUGUAGGAUAGUAGGAGUGUAGGAUAGUUUGUAGGAUAGUAGGAGUGUAGGAUAGCUUGUAGGAUAGUAAGUACUGGAUGUUUUUUUCCUUCAAUCUUUCUCAUUUUUCCUACGUACUUUGCUUUUUCAUUUUCUAUCCAACUUUCGACUCUGGUAGAUACGUGGGUCUCUUUUUUUCCUCUUCUUGUAUGUAAAUAUUUUCAACUUGCCUUUUCAUGUGUCUUCUCCUCCUCCUCUCCUCCUCCUCCUCUCCUCCUCCUCCUCCUCCUCCUCCUCCUCCUAUUCACCUCUCUGUACCGAAGCAUCAGUUGUGUGUUCACCGACUUUUUUUCAUCUUUUUCUUUCCUCUCUCUCUCUCUCUCUCUCUCUCUCUCUCUCUCUCUCUCUCUCUCUCUCUCUCUCUCUCUCUCUCUCUCUCUCUCUCUCUCUCUCUCUCUCUCUCUCUCUCUCUCUCUUUUUUUUUUUACUCUACAAUGAUAGCUUCCAGUUGGUUCUCUCUCUUUUUAUUCUUUCCUUCAAUAACGCGACUUCUAUCUGUGUUUCAAAUCUUUUUUUUCUCUUCCAAAGCAACCUCUAUUUUUUUUUCUUUCUUUUCCUCCUCCUCUUUCCUCGACUUGCAAAUCCCUUACAUUCAAAAUCUUCUUAGCAUUUGUGACGUAACGAGUGGAGGG